rnacentral:rRNA from 1 species
GGGUCAGUAGGUUGGUCGUGCCACCGGUACGUACUGGUCUCACUGAUUCCUCCUUCCUGAAGAGCCGUAAUGCCAUUAAUUUGGUGUUGCGGGGAGACAGGACUGUUACUUUGAAAAAAUUAGAGUGUUUAAAGCAAGCUAACGCUUGAAUACAUUAGCAUGGAAUAAUGAAAUAGGACGAUCGAUCCUAUUUUGUUGGUUUCUAGGAUUGACGUA